UACGAGGGGGGCAAGCGUUGUUCGGAAUUAUUGGGCGUAAAGGGCGCGUAGGCGGUGCGGUAAGUCACCUGUGAAAACUCUGGGCUCAACUCAGAGCCUGCAGGCGAAACUGCCGUGCUUGAGUGUGGGAGAGGUGCGUGGAACUCCCGGUGUAGCGGUGAAAUGCGUAGAUAUCGGGAGGAACACCUGUGGCGAAAGCGCUCUACUGGACCGCAACUGACACUCAGGGACGAAAGCUAGGGGAGCGAAUGGG
rnacentral:rRNA from 1 species